AGAGACCGAAACCUGCGGACAAUAUCUGGCCUGUCAUUGGGCCACGUCGCCUCCUUUUCUCGGCCGUUAGAUUGCUGCUGAUGUUUGAUCGGACGGCUGUAGCAACAACUAGCCAACAGAUUUGUCUAGGAGCUUCUACCAGCGUGGCUGUACCGGUAUUUAUCUAGCAAGUUCCUGAUAACGCUUCGUCGUCUAGGAGCUUCUACCAGCGUGGCUGUACCGGUUUUUAUCUAGCAAGUUCCUGAUAACGCUUCGUCCAGUAAAUCCCAUAGCCAAAAGAUAAAUGCUUUGCCUGUUCAUCUCCCACAACAAUAGCUUCCGUCCAGUGCCUGCUACCUUGCCUGUUCAUCUUCCGCAACAAUCUUCCAUCCAGUGCCGGUUCAUCUUCAGCAAGCUUCCAUCCAGUGCCUACUCAUCUUCCAGAGCAACAAACCCAACAACUGAUCCAGCGCCACCAAGACGGCGCCGCCCAUCCCCCGUAAGCCUUCAACCACCUUCGCCCCGCCCCCCUCGCUCCUCCGCAACCAGCACCUGCGCUCACCCAAGACCGCCUCCGCAUCAGCCUCAGCGGCUCUCGCCACGGCUGCCCCUGUCGUGGCCGCCGAGCCCGCACCUGCGCCAUCCUUCCAGCCGGCGUUCGUGGCCGUCCAGUCCACCGUGCUGCAGGAGCACGACCCCGCCAGGCCCAACGACAACGAGGACUACCACAAGGACAAGCUCCGGCGGACCAAGAAGGCCAAGCUGUGCAAGGAGCUCGAGUGGCCGGCGGCUUCCGAACGCAGCCCCCCCAGCUCCUCCUGCCGAUCAAGCGCGAUUGAAUCUAUCCGUCCAACCCUCAUCGACCUGUACAGACAAACGUCAUCCAUACCCAAGAUGACCAUUAUCUUGCUUCCAGAUGGACACCAAAACUAUGGAAAUGACAUGAAAAUAAGGAUGACGACAUCGAAGUCUUCACCUUGGUGCUAGGGAUCAAAAGAUGCAUCACAAUACAACCAUAAAUGUAGUUCCAUCUUAUGUACUUCAUAUAUUUUCUUCUCAGCUAAUCCAUAUUCUGUACAGCAACAUGUGCCUUUGUAUGUAUUCAAGGGCUAAUUUUGUAUCAUGUGUGUUGAUAACAACAGUUUCUGAACCCCUCUAUUUUCUUUGCCUUCUUACCUCUACAAUAGCAAAUAGAUUACUACAGCUGGUGUGGUACCGAUAUGAGAACACAUAGUACUAUCCCCUGAAUCGUUUCUGAGGAAUAAAUGGAUCUACAAAUA